GUUUUUUAAUAGAUUAUGAGUCUCCAAAGAGAAAGUGGAACAGGCCAGGCACUGAGUCUCCUGAAGCUUUACAUUAACUUUUACAAAAUGAACAGCAGGAUGUGAUGGGUGGAAUUGUAUCCCCUCCACCCCCACCCCCAAAAAGGUACGCUGAAGUUCUAAAUCCCCAGGAUCUGAGAAUGUGACCGCAUGUGGAAAUAGGGUUGUUGAAGAUGUAAUUAGUGAAGAUGAGGUCAUACUGGAGUAGCAUAGGCCCUUAAACAGUAUGACUGGUGUCUUCACAAAAAGACGAGAAGCACAGAGGAGACUGUCAUGUGCAGAGACAGAGACACAAAGGAGGAGAUGGUCACAUGAAGAUGGAGGCAGAGAUUGGAGUGAUGCAUCUACAAGCCAAGGAACCAAGGAUUACCUGCAAACACCAGCAGCAAGAAGAGGCAAGAUUGGAUUCUCCCCUAUAACUUUCAGAGGGAGCAUGGUCCUGCCAACACCUUGAUUUCAGACUUCCAGCCUCCAGAACAGUAAGACGAUGCAAACUGAGUUAUUUCUAACAGAACCAUCAUGACUUGAACACUGGAACCAUCCAGUCAACCUCAAGAGUUGCCCAGAGGAUCACAUGGAAAAGAGAACGACUACGUGCUUACCAUCUGUUUCCCAUAUGCCUGAGAAAAGAUCCAGAAAAUCCAAAUUCUCAGGGCAGCUGGCCUUCAAAUCAGUCACCAGAGAGAGAAGUGCUUCCUGCCGCUGGCUAAACUAACCACACUGCAGUAAAUACACCUCUUGUUCAAUGAGGGCUUGAACUUGCCCCUCUGGAGAGUAGAUGUCCACAUGCAUCAGCCCAUGCAGCCACGCGCCCGGGAGACACCGAGGCCAGGAAAGCAAUGGUUUUACUUCUUUGCUUUCAAAAGGUUGUAUUGAAAUAAAGACCGAAGAUAAUAUGGGAACAAUUUCUGCACAACACAUAAUUAUUCGGCUUAGCAAAUAUUUUAAAAAUAAGCUAGGAGACAAAGUAUAGGCACUGCCAUUGACUGCCCCUGUGUUCUCACAGAGGAGAAAAUACAAGGGAAAAGGGAAAGGUGGGAUGUGAUAGGGCUUCUCUCUUCAUUCUAAAUAGUGAACUCAGAGUUUGAAAAUACAAGAUGAACUGGAAGCCAUUCUCUUGCCAGCCUCCUGCCUUCACUCAUCAACUUCACAAUUUCUCCAAGGAGCCCUACCAUGCCCACGUCCCCCACCCACCUCCCUCCCCAGCCUCCCUCUCUCACCUCCAGCACCUCUCACCUCUCAGCACCACUGGAGAUGGGAGGGAGCUGGGAGAAGCAGUUUUUUCCUGUUACACAUGGACUGAACAGCUCUGAGGACCAAAAUAGAAUGAAAGUCCCCACGCCUGGAGUGAGAUCCAAUCUCCUGCAUCGGCCUGCUUCCUGCCCCUCCAGGCUCACUUCUCCCCAGAGUGGGCUCCAAUCCCCUUGGCCUUCUUACUGGGAGCUCCAGGCUUCAGACCUGCCGUGGCCCCUGCCUGGAACAUUCUUCCCCCAAAUAGUCACUGGGCUCCCUUCCUCCCAUCAUUAAGCUGCUGCCCAAAUAGCACUUCCUUCCACUGUGUGCCGGCCAGCGCCUGCCAGCCCGGCCACUCUCCAUCACAUUGCCUUGCUUUAUUGUCCCUCGUGGUGUUCAUCACCAACUAGC